GUGCUCACUUUGGAAGCACAUAUACUAAAAUUGUGACAAUACAGAGAAGAUUAGCAUGACCCCUGCACAAGAAUGACACGCAAAGUCAUGAAGCAUUCCAUAUUUAA
ensembl:snRNA U6 U6 spliceosomal RNA